GGGGAUGUGGCUCAAGUGGUAGAGCGCUCACCUCACAUACGUGAGGCACUGGGUUCGAUCCUCAGCACCACA
rnacentral:tRNA from 1 species